CAAUCAUCCAUUGUUCCUGUUCGGGGAAGAAAGGAAGGCUGAAGCUGGAGACUCCAAAAAGCUGGACCAGAUUUUUACAAUUUUCCUUUAUCGUGAAGUGCCCACAGAUUAUAAUUCCCUGAGGGUAGGACCCAGCAUCCCAGUUCCUGGGUACCAAGAUGGAGCUGGAGGAAGAUUCAGCCCUCCCUGGCAGCUUCUUCGGCCUGGUGGAAAGGCUGGAGCUUCAGGGUAUUUAGUCUGGCGACCCAGAGAGCCACUCAGCUGCGCCUUUCCCAUGCCCCUGUCUCAGCCGAGAGGGCUCAGAGAAUGGCCUCCUGUGGCAGCUGCCCUGGACGGAGUCCCCUGCCCUUUCGGCUCCUGACAUCAGGGUGCAGUGAUGCAGGUCCCUCUGCACUUCUGGGGAAUAAAUAAAUACAGUGGAGCUUUUCUCA
ensembl:lncRNA